AUUGAACGCUGGCGGCAUGCCUAACACAUGCAAGUCGCACGCGAAAGGGGGCAACCCUGAGUAGAGUGGCGGACAGGUGAGUAACGCGUAGGAAUCUACCUGGUAGUGGGGGACAACCCGGUGAAAACCGGGCUAAUACCGCAUACGAUCCACGGAUGAAAGCAGGGGACCGCAAGGCCUUGCGCUAUCAGAUGAGCCUGCGUCGGAUUAGCUAGUUGGUGGGGUAAAGGCCCACCAAGGCGACGAUCCGUAGCUGGUUUGAGAGAACGACCAGCCACACUGGGACUGAGACACGGCCCAGACUCCUACGGGAGGCAGCAGUGGGGAAUAUUGGACAAUGGGGGCAACCCUGAUCCAGCAAUGCCGCAUGUGUGAAGAAGGCCUUCGGGUUGUAAAGCACUUUCGGUGGGGACAAACAAGGUGGAGCUAACAUCUCCGCCUCUGAUGGUACCCAAAGAAGAAGCACCGGCUAACUCUGUGCCAGCAGCCGCGGUAA
rnacentral:rRNA from 1 species